AUGAAACAACAAAACAAUCAUGCAAGAAUCAGCGACUCAACCAUUUUUGGUGCAGCAUCAAUUUACGUUGACUCAAUUUUGUGACCCUAUUUCACAAAAACAUGCUUUACAACAGGAAUGAUUUUACGAACAUCUUCAAUACUUUUUCGAAACUUCAAUCAGCUCCCAAACUUUUUAAGUAUACCGGAAGUGCUUUUACAUGAAACAACAAAACAAUCAUGCAAGAAUCAGCGACUCAACCAUUUUUGGUGCAGCAUCAAUUUACGUUGACUCAAUUUUGUGACCCUAUUUCACAAAAACAUGCUUUACAACAGGAAUGAUUUUACGAACAUCUUCAAUACUUUUUCGAAACUUCAAUCAGCUCCCAAACUUUUUAAGUAUACCGGAAGUGCUUUUACAUGAAACAACAAAACAAUCAUGCAAGAAUCAGCGACUCAACCAUUUUUGGUGCAGCAUCAAUUUACGUUGACUCAAUUUUGUGACCCUAUUUCACAAAAACAUGCUUUACAACAGGAAUGAUUUUACGAACAUCUUCAAUACUUUUUCGAAACUUCAAUCAGCUCCCAAACUUUUUAAGUAUACCGGAAGUGCUUUUACAUGAAACAACAAAACAAUCAUGCAAGAAUCAGCGACUCAACCAUUUUUGGUGCAGCAUCAAUUUACGUUGACUCAAUUUUGUGACCCUAUUUCACAAAAACAUGCUUUACAACAGGAAUGAUUUUACGAACAUCUUCAAUACUUUUUCGAAACUUCAAUCAGCUCCCAAACUUUUUAAGUAUACCGGAAGUGCUUUUACAUGAAACAACAAAACAAUCAUGCAAGAAUCAGCGACUCAACCAUUUUUGGUGCAGCAUCAAUUUACGUUGACUCAAUUUUGUGACCCUAUUUCACAAAAACAUGCUUUACAACAGGAAUGAUUUUACGAACAUCUUCAAUACUUUUUCGAAACUUCAAUCAGCUCCCAAACUUUUUAAGUAUACCGGAAGUGCUUUUACAUGAAACAACAAAACAAUCAUGCAAGAAUCAGCGACUCAACCAUUUUUGGUGCAGCAUCAAUUUACGUUGACUCAAUUUUGUGACCCUAUUUCACAAAAACAUGCUUUACAACAGGAAUGAUUUUACGAACAUCUUCAAUACUUUUUCGAAACUUCAAUCAGCUCCCAAACUUUUUAAGUAUACCGGAAGUGCUUUUACAUGAAACAACAAAACAAUCAUGCAAGAAUCAGCGACUCAACCAUUUUUGGUGCAGCAUCAAUUUACGUUGACUCAAUUUUGUGACCCUAUUUCACAAAAACAUGCUUUACAACAGGAAUGAUUUUACGAACAUCUUCAAUACUUUUUCGAAACUUCAAUCAGCUCCCAAACUUUUUAAGUAUACCGGAAGUGCUUUUACAUGAAACAACAAAACAAUCAUGCAAGAAUCAGCGACUCAACCAUUUUUGGUGCAGCAUCAAUUUACGUUGACUCAAUUUUGUGACCCUAUUUCACAAAAACAUGCUUUACAACAGGAAUGAUUUUACGAACAUCUUCAAUACUUUUUCGAAACUUCAAUCAGCUCCCAAACUUUUUAAGUAUACCGGAAGUGCUUUUACAUGAAACAACAAAACAAUCAUGCAAGAAUCAGCGACUCAACCAUUUUUGGUGCAGCAUCAAUUUACGUUGACUCAAUUUUGUGACCCUAUUUCACAAAAACAUGCUUUACAACAGGAAUGAUUUUACGAACAUCUUCAAUACUUUUUCGAAACUUCAAUCAGCUCCCAAACUUUUUAAGUAUACCGGAAGUGCUUUUACAUGAAACAACAAAACAAUCAUGCAAGAAUCAGCGACUCAACCAUUUUUGGUGCAGCAUCAAUUUACGUUGACUCAAUUUUGUGACCCUAUUUCACAAAAACAUGCUUUACAACAGGAAUGAUUUUACGAACAUCUUCAAUACUUUUUCGAAACUUCAAUCAGCUCCCAAACUUUUUAAGUAUACCGGAAGUGCUUUUACAUGAAACAACAAAACAAUCAUGCAAGAAUCAGCGACUCAACCAUUUUUGGUGCAGCAUCAAUUUACGUUGACUCAAUUUUGUGACCCUAUUUCACAAAAACAUGCUUUACAACAGGAAUGAUUUUACGAACAUCUUCAAUACUUUUUCGAAACUUCAAUCAGCUCCCAAACUUUUUAAGUAUACCGGAAGUGCUUUUACAUGAAACAACAAAACAAUCAUGCAAGAAUCAGCGACUCAACCAUUUUUGGUGCAGCAUCAAUUUACGUUGACUCAAUUUUGUGACCCUAUUUCACAAAAACAUGCUUUACAACAGGAAUGAUUUUACGAACAUCUUCAAUACUUUUUCGAAACUUCAAUCAGCUCCCAAACUUUUUAAGUAUACCGGAAGUGCUUUUACAUGAAACAACAAAACAAUCAUGCAAGAAUCAGCGACUCAACCAUUUUUGGUGCAGCAUCAAUUUACGUUGACUCAAUUUUGUGACCCUAUUUCACAAAAACAUGCUUUACAACAGGAAUGAUUUUACGAACAUCUUCAAUACUUUUUCGAAACUUCAAUCAGCUCCCAAACUUUUUAAGUAUACCGGAAGUGCUUUUACAUGAAACAACAAAACAAUCAUGCAAGAAUCAGCGACUCAACCAUUUUUGGUGCAGCAUCAAUUUACGUUGACUCAAUUUUGUGACCCUAUUUCACAAAAACAUGCUUUACAACAGGAAUGAUUUUACGAACAUCUUCAAUACUUUUUCGAAACUUCAAUCAGCUCCCAAACUUUUUAAGUAUACCGGAAGUGCUUUUACAUGAAACAACAAAACAAUCAUGCAAGAAUCAGCGACUCAAC